GGGGGUGACAAGGAUUCGACAGAGGUAGGAAGACUAAAACUGCACAUCAAGGUCUGGGUUCCUUGUAAAACUACCCAGAAAAACAAUAAGCGCCAACGAAAAUUUGGCUUUAGCUGCUUAAAAGCAGUUAACGCCUGGUCACUUUCGCUCUGUGAGGUGGCUAAGGUGUCAGAAAGCAGGGCUAACCUUACUCUUAGCAAAGGAGAGCUGGGUGAAACUUAAACUUUGCUAAGCUCGCUUUCUAUCCUGCCUGUCGGAGAGAAAAUGAGCGAAUAUAAAUGACAGGAUAGGUGUGUAGAUGUUUUGGUUUUCUCAUUUCUGGACGAGGGUUCGAUUCCCUCCACCUCCACCA
rnacentral:tmRNA from 1 species